rnacentral:rRNA from 1 species
UGUAAGCGUAUACCAAAGUUGUUGCAGUUAAAACGCUCGUAGUCGGAAUUUGGCAGUUCCGGAAGUGUGCACGUCGUGUGCGCACUUUGCGGGGACUGCUUUUGUGGUCUUGCGUAGGAUGAGGCACUUUCAUUAGUGAACGUCCUCACGCAACCACUCUUUACUGUGAGAAAAUCAAAGUGCUCAAAGCAGGCAUUUGCCGUGAAUGUAUUAGCAUGGAAUAAUAGAAUAGGACUCGGUUCUAUUUUGUUGGUUUGUUGGGACUGAGUAAUGAUUAAGAGGGACAGUUGGGGGCAUUUGUAUUCCGGCGCUAGAGGUGAAAUUCUUAGAUUGCCGGAAGACAAACUGCUGCGAAAGCGUCUGCCAAGGAUGUUUUCAUUGA